GCAUAUCAAUAAGCGGAGGAAAAGAAACUAACACGGAUUCCCCUAGUAACUGCGAGUGAAGCGGGAAAAGCUCAAAUUUGAAAUCUGGCAGCUCUUUGAACUGUCCGAGUUGUAAUCUAGAGAAGUGUUACCUGUGCUGGACCGUGUACAAGUCUCCUGGAAUGGAGCGUCACAGAGGGUGAGAAUCCCGUCUUUGACACGGACUGCCUGCAUGUUAUGGUGCGCUCUCAAAGAGUCGAGUUGUUUGGGAAUGCAGCUCAAAAUGGGUGGUAAAUGCCAUCUAAAGCUAAAUAUUGGCGAGAGACCGAUAGCGAACAAGUACCGUGAGGGAAAGAUGAAAAGAACUUUGGAAAGAGAGUUAAACAGUACGUGAAAUUGCUGAAAGGGAAACGCUUGAAGUCAGUCGCGUCGGCUAGAAAUCAACCUUGCUUUUGCUUGGUGUACUUUCUUGUUUGAUGGGUCAGCAUCAAUUUUGACCAUUGGAUAAAGUCGUUGGGAAUGUGGCAUCUUAGGAUGUGUUAUAGCCCAUCGUCGCAUACAGUGGUUGGGAUUGAGGAACUCAGCACGCCCUCUGGGAAUGGGUUUCGACCACGUAUCGUGCUUAGGAUGCUGGCAUAAUGGCUUUAAUCGACCCGUCUUGAAACACGGACCAAGGAGUCUAACAUGCCUGCGAGUGUUUGGGUGGAAAACCCAUGCGCGCAAUGAAAGUGAAAGUUGAGAUCCCCUCAAGGGGAGCAUUGACGCCCGGACCAGACCUUCUGUGACGGAUCCGCGGUAGAGCAUGUAUGUUGGGACCCGAAAGAUGGUGAACUAUGCCUGAAUAGGGUGAAGCCAGAGGAAACUCUGGUGGAGGCUCGUAGCGAUUCUGACGUGCAAAUCGAUCGUCAAAUUUGGGUAUAGGGGCGAAAGACUAAUCGAACCAUCUAGUAGCUGGUUCCUGCC
rnacentral:rRNA from 1 species